AGACAAACCUACCAAAAUCCCUGUAAGACAGCUGCAAUUUUGACACAUGGAUAUUUGUCAAUGUGUCAACAGGGAGGAUAAUUACUAUAUUACUACCAAAUAUGGAUUAAAAAUUUAAUUCUUACUUAAAAAUGUUUGUACUGCAUGUCUAUGUUAAAAACAAUUCUCAAGGAAACAUGACACCAAAAAGAGGAAGUUUCCCAAAACCUUCUUAUCCCUUCCAGACAAUGCAUAUGGAUUUUAUUGAACUUACACAAAGUGGACCAUAUAAAUAUUGUUUGGUAAUGACUGAUGCAUUUUCUAAAUGGGUUGAAAUAGUCCCAGCAAAGCACACAGAUGCUCUGACAGUAGCUAAAGCUAUUUGUAAAACUAUUAUUACAUCACAUGGCAUACCACAAACCUUUUAUAGAGAAGAGCAGAUUAAGAAAAUGUAUGGAAACAUCUAACAGGCUGUGGCCAGAAUGUUUAGGUUUGGUGAAGUUCUACAUGAGAAUUACACCCACACAGGAAGGAUUAACCAUUUGAAAUAAUUUAUGGAAGACCAUAAAGAUUACCGAUAUUUUCUGCAGAUUUACAGAAAGCAGAUGAGGAGCAAACAUUGGCAGACUAGAUGAUUAGGACUCUAAGACAGAAAGAGGUAUCAAAUGCAAAUUUACUGCCCUCUGACUCUCCUCUCCCACAGAAAACCCCUCCCAUCAAGCCAGCAGACUGGGUGUAUAUCAAAGUCAUAAAAAGGAAGAGCUGGGCCAGUCCACAGUGGGAGAGACCAUUCCAAGUGCUGAUAACCACACCAACUGCUGUAAAGAUUGCUGAAAGACCCAGCUGGAUACAUCUCAGUCACUGUAAGGUGCAGAGGGUGUUAGACCUCUAAUUCAGAGUGACAGGGAAGCCUGACUUCAAAGGGGUUCUGCCGUUUAAGGCAGUUCGUCUCAACGUCAGUGAAGAAACCAACAAAUCCUCACUCUGCUAGGCUGGGGGUCCUGAAUACUGGGGGUAUUCUGAGCAGCAAUGGGGUCACAUGCCAGGUGGAACCUCUACUGUGACUGCAGCAUGUCUACUGUUUUGCAGAGGGAGUGGUCUCACUCUCAACAGGAUAAGAAGAGAAGCAGACACAUCCUCCCUCCAGACUCAUCCACAUGACUACAGCACCAACUUGUGGUGGCAACUGAUGAAUAGGUACCCUGCUCUACACACAACUCUGGACUGAGACCUGGAAACAUAACCAAACAACAACAACUUUGUUUGUGACACCAUGCCCCUGCCACAGAUGGACCUCUGACUACCAGAAGUAAUCACUUUGGUUAGUUUUAAGCCAGGACCCCUUGGUGUCUAUGUGUAUAACAAUGGCACUACCGUUUUGGGGACCAUCCCAUGGAACCAGUGUAACAAAAUCUAGACUUUCUGUGACAAGAAGGCAGACUUUUUCGACUGUAAAACCUGCCAAGCGAUGAACCACAUCAGUACUGACUGUUCCAUAAGAUGGAAGUCUGACCGCAACUGUACCAGAGUUAACCUUCUCAAGGUAAGGAGGUUCGACAUCGGCAGCAAGACCAGGGGAUGUCAAAGCUUCACCAUCUGCAGAACCAUCAUUCCAGGGAACAGAGGAUCCAGGACAAUGGCAGAUUGGUACUUUCUGUGUGGACACACUGCUUAUGCUUCUCUUCCCAGAAAUUGGGGAGGACUGUGUGCCCUGGUUCCCCUGUCCAACCCAGUGACUUUCCUGAAAAAGGUUCAGGAAAGGUUCAGGAUGCUCACAGCCAUGGACGCUACCGCACUAGCAGAGACAUCAUGCUGGAAGUCCAAAGGUGAGGAUGCCUUGCUACAAAAUCUAUAGUUCCUUGGAAAUUCAGUAUCUGGGCCGGCAGAGAAAGGUUUAUGCAAAGCCUAUUCCCAUGGGUGGGAGUAGCUGAAGUUUGAGAACACGUUGGGAUCAACAGGAACUGGAGGAACUAUACAUGAUGCCCUGCAUGAAUUGGAAGACCGUAAGGACUAUAUGGACAGUGCAACUCAGGGGUCACAACCUUUUGACCUUGUUUCUUGGCUCACCUCUGGACCAUGGUGGCAGCUUUUGUUAAAGAUUGGAACAUCCACCUUGACUGUACUGAUCCUAUUCUGUCUUUUACAACUUACAUCAUUCUAUGUCUUUGUAGCAUGAUGCUAAAGACAUUUAACACUGCUCUGAUCAGCUAUCAGAUGGUAUGGGUAACCUCUGACAGAUGAGGACUAUAUAUGGUUCCAGAAGAAUGAAGAUGAACUGAAAACAGGAACAUGAUGAUGUUCUUUAAUUAAUAAACAGAUUAAAUCAUUUGCUUAAUGUCUCCUACACUGAACAUGUGAAAACAAAUUAUGUUUGUGAU